rnacentral:rRNA from 1 species
GAUGAACGCUAGCGGCAGGCUUAACACAUGCAAGUCGAGGGGCAGCGCGGAGUAGCAAUACUUUGGCGGCGACCGGCGGACGGGUGCGUAACGCGUAUGCAACCUACCCGAUACAGGGGGAUAACGUUGAGAAAUCGGCACUAAAACCCCAUAACAUCAGGACUGACAUCGGUCUUGGUUGAAAACUACGGUGGUAUCGGAUGGGCAUGCGUUGUAUUAGAUAGUUGGUAGGGUAACGGAUUACCAAGUCGACGAUACAUAGGGGGACUGAGAGGUCAACCCCCAACAUUGGUACUGAGACACGGACCAAACUCCUACGGGAGGCAGCAGUGAGGAAUAUUGGUCAAUGGACGGAAGUCUGAACCAGCCAUGCCGCGUGCAGGAAGACGGCUCUAUGAGUUGUAAACUGCUUUUGUACGAGGGUAAAGAUGCCUACGUGUAGGCAAGUGAAAGUAUCGUACGAAUAAGGAUCGGCUAACUCCGUGCCGGCAGCCGCGGUAAAAC